AUUGAACGCUGGCGGCAUGCUUUACACAUGCAAGUCGAACGGUAACAGGGAGCUUGCUCCGCUGACGAGUGGCGAACGGGUGAGUAAUGCAUCGGAACAUGCCCAGUCAUGGGGGAUAACUACGCGAAAGCGUAGCUAAUACCGCAUACGCCCUGAGGGGGAAAGUGGGGGAUCUUAGGACCUCACGUGAUUGGAGUGGCCGAUGUCAGAUUAGCUAGUUGGUGAGGUAAAGGCUCACCAAGGCGACGAUCUGUAGCGGGUCUGAGAGGAUGAUCCGCCACACUGGGACUGAGACACGGCCCAGACUCCUACGGGAGGCAGCAGUGGGGAAUUUUGGACAAUGGGCGCAAGCCUGAUCCAGCCAUGCCGCGUGAGUGAAGGAGGCC
rnacentral:rRNA from 1 species